GGUUGACCUCGGAUCAGGUAGGGAUACCCGCUGAACUUAAGCAUAUCAAUAAGCGGAGGAAAAGAAACCAACAGGGAUUGCCUUAGUAACGGCGAGUGAAGCGGCAACAGCUCAAAUUUGAAAGCUGGCCCUUUCAGGGUCCGCGUUGUAAUUUGUAGAGGAUGAUUCGGCGAGGGCUCCCGCCUAAGUCCCCUGGAACGGGGCGUCAUAGAGGGUGAGAAUCCCGUAUGCGGUGGGCUGCCUUAGCCAUGUGAAUCUCCUUCGACGAGUCGAGUUGUUUGGGAAUGCAGCUCUAAAUGGGAGGUAAAUUUCUUCUAAAGCUAAAUACCGGCCAGAGACCGAUAGCGCACAAGUAGAGUGAUCGAAAGAUGAAAAGCACUUUGGAAAGAGAGUUAAAAAGUACGUGAAAUUGUUGAAAGGGAAGCGCUUGCAACCAGACUUGUCCGCAGUUGCUCAGCCGGUCUCCUGACCGGCGUACUCUUCUGCGGCCAGGCCAGCAUCAGUUCGGGCGGUCGGAUAAAGACCUCGGGAAUGUAGCUCCUCUCGGGGAGUGUUAUAGCCCGGGGUGGAAUGCGGCCAGCCUGGACUGAGGAUCUCGCUUCGGCAAGGAUGCUGGCGUAAUGGUUGUAAGCGGCCCGUCUUGAAACACGGACCAAGGAGUCUAACAUCUAUGCGAGUGUUUGGGUGUCAAACCCAUACGCGUAAUGAAAGUGAACGGAGGUGGGAACCCGCAAGGGUGCACCAUCGGCCGAUCCUGAUGUCUUCGGAUGGAUUUGAGCAAGAGCAUAGCUGUUGGGACCCGAAAGAUGGUGAACUAUGCCUGAAUAGGGUGAAGCCAGAGGAAACUCUGGUGGAGGCUCGCAGCGGUUCUGACGUGCAAAUCGAUCGUCAAAUUUGGGUAUAGGGGCGAAAGACUAAUCGAACCAUCUAGUAGCUGGUUCCUGCCGAAGUUUCCC
rnacentral:rRNA from 1 species